AACGAACGCUGGCGGCAGGCUUAACACAUGCAAGUCGAGCGCCCCGCAAGGGGAGCGGCAGACGGGUGGGUAACGCGUGGGAAUCUACCCAUCCCUACGGAACAACAGUUGGAAACGACUGCUAAUACCGUAUACGCCCUUUGGGGGAAAGAUUUAUCGGGGAUGGAUGAGCCCGCGUUGGAUUAGCUAGUUGGUGGGGUAAUGGCCUACCAAGGCGACGAUCCAUAGCUGGUCUGAGAGGAUGAUCAGCCACAUUGGGACUGAGACACGGCCCAAACUCCUACGGGAGGCAGCAGUGGGGAAUAUUGGACAAUGGGCGCAAGCCUGAUCCAGCCAUGCCGCGUGAGUGAUGAAGGCCUUAGGGUUGUAAAGCUCUUUUGUCCGGGAAGAUAAUGACUGUACCGGAAGAAUAAGCCCCGACUAACUUCGUGCCAGCCGCCGCGGUAAAAC
rnacentral:rRNA from 1 species